UUGUUGCUCCUAGAUUGAUUUUGAUGAUUACAAAGCAGAUUGAAGGGAUACAAAUAAUUUUAAAUUGAAAAAGUCCUUAUGCUCUUCAGGGGCAAAAUUGUAAUUUCAUUAAAAUCCUAAUUUGACAGUAUCAUUUGGUAGAACAAAUGAUUAGUAAUCUAUUGGUGAAAAUUUUAUUGUGUUUGGACUUAUAUUUUUGAAGUUAUGAAGGUUUGAAGUGCAUGAGUCGACUCAUGAGUCAACUCAUGGCACUAUGAGCUGAUUGGCACGCAAAAAUUUCCCUUGGCACGCUAGUUUUCUGGCUUGGCACGACCUGUGAGUCGACUCAUGAGUCGAUCCACAAGGCAUGAGUCGACUCAUGAGUCGACCCCUGCUGAUUUGAGCCAAGAAUUUCCAGAAACUCAUUCUCUGGUCUUUGCAACAGAAGUCGACUCAUGAGUCGACUCCUGAAGCAUGAGUCGACUCAUGAGUCAACCCCUGCGGCGGAAAAUGUCAGCAACGGCUAGUUUUUUGCCCGUUUUAAUUACCUUUUAUGCUUCCUAAAAUUGCUCUAACGGCUCUUUAUCUGCCUAAAUUAUUUUCUCUUGUUUCUUAUUGCUAUAAAAUAUUUCAAAUGGUGAAAGAAAUUGCAGAUCAAAAAGGAGAGAUCAAACCUAUAUACAAAAGGAUCCAAAAUCUACACGAGAAAGCCUG
rnacentral:lncRNA from 1 species